rnacentral:misc_RNA from 1 species
GUGAAAUACUACAAUUUGAUUCCAAUUUUAAACUACAAUCAUCAAUUUUGAUGACUAAACCGAUAAGGUAACCACCCAUAUGAAGGAACAUGUGCAGGGGAGGCCUCUACCCAUGAGACAAACAUGGAGUGAUUAAGCAAGAAUCUCCAUUUACAUGUGAUAUUGCUAUAUUUACACAAAUUUACAUAACUACCAGUAGCAACACACCCUGAGAACACGUAUCAGAUAUGUCAGUCAAAGACACAUCAGAUAACUGUCCCUUCCCCCUUCUCUCUUAAUCAUAUGUGUUCUAUUAAGCAUUUUUAAUUACUUUAUUUAAUCACAAGUAUCAAUUUAAUUGUAAGUAUUGAUUUAAUUAUAAGUACUAAAAUUCAAGCAACCUUUCUUUCUGUUAAAAAAGCUGAUUCUUUGCUUAACCAUUUAGCAUAUUUUUUAAUAAAAUUGUUUUAUAUUUCAAUUUUGACAUUUAAAAAAAAAUCUCAAAAAUCUCUUUUUUAUAAGACUAUAAUGGCAAUACGUUUUGAUUUUUACGGACACUGAAUCUGAUCGAAUCUCAAUAGAACGAGUUUA